GUCUACGGCUAUACCACCCUGAACGUGCCCGAUCCCACCUCAAUCUCGGAAGCUAAGCAGGGUCGGGCCUGGUUAGAACCUUGGAUGGGAGAUCACCUGGUUAUACCUGGUGCUGUGGGCA
rnacentral:rRNA from 1 species